rnacentral:tRNA from 1 species
GCACCCAUAGCUCAGCUGGAUAGAGCAUCUGAUUGCGGUUCAGAAGGUCAGAGGUUCGAAUCCUCUUGGGUGUACCA